rnacentral:rRNA from 1 species
CGCCUUAAGAAGAAUCGAUCCUUAAAAGGGAUAGGUAGUUGUUAAGGUAAUGGUUUAACUAGCCGAAUAUUCUCUUAGUCGAAACUGAAAGGGUUGAUCGACCACAUUGGGGAUGAGAAAAACCCAAGGCAAGCGAGUACAGCAGUGGGGAAUUUUAGUCAAUGGCCUAACGGCUGAACUGGCAACUUGGAGGAAUGGCCUAUAAUAGAGUGAAAAAGGUUAAAUUUAUCGCNUGGUAAAAUAAAAUUCUAAAUAUAUAACUUAUAAUGACUAUGUAUAUUUAUGUCUUGACUAAUUACGUGCCAGCAGUCGCGGUAAUACGUAAGAGACUAGUGUUAUUCAUCUUUAAUAGGUUUAAAGGGUACCCAAACGGAAGAAAUUUGCCAAAAAAAAGGAACAAUUUCUAUCUAGAGUUAAAAAAAAAAAGGUGAAAUCUUUACAGGAGGAUUAAAAAACAAAGAUUCUUUAGGGACGGGUAAGGCGAAGGCAACCUUUUAGAUAAUAACUGACGUUGAAGGACGAAGGCUAAGGUAGCGAAAAGGAUUAGAGACCCUUGUAGUCUUAGCAGUAAACUAUGAAUGCUACUUAUUAAUAAUAUUUAAUUCGUAAAUGAAAAUGUAAGCAUUUCACCUCAUGAGUAAUGUGGCAACGCAGGAACUGAAAUCACUAGACCGUUUUUGACACCAGUAGUGAAGUAUGUUAUUUAAUUCGAUGAUCCGCGAAAAACCUUACCACAAUUUGAAUUAUUUAUAUUUAUAUAUAUAUAUAUAUAAAUAACUAGUGUUGCACGGCUGUCUUCAGUUAAUGUUGUGAAACUGUGGCUUCGGCCAUGUAAUUAACAAAAACCCUUACUUUAUUUAUUAAUAUAAAUUUUAUAAAGUAUUUUUUAUUCAAGAUAUCGAUAAAAUAACAGGGACAAAGACAAGUCAUCAUGGCCUUUAUGUUGUGGGCUAUAGACGUGCCACAUUUACCUAGACAAAGAGAUGCAAAAAUGAAAAUUUAAGCUAAUCUCCAAAAUAGGAUAAAAAGGAUAUGGAUUGUAGUCUGAAACUCGCCUAUAUGAAUAAGUAAUUACUAG